CCGAAUCGUAACUUGAGAGAUAAUCUUCGAAUAAUAAUUAACUGAUUAACGAAGUAGUACAUGGUGAAUUGGGCACAUAAGUGGGACACAGCCCACCAAAAUUAUUUAUUGACGAUGCUUAAGUUAAAAGAGUUCCUGGGAGGGGGGGCAUUGGUGCUGGCAUUCUUCUCUGCUAUGGAAGCAUAACUCAAGGUGGCUGCACCACGAAUGGCAACGACCAACGCGAAAGCAAUACAGCUCCUUCUCAUCUCCCACCCCUUCAACACCAUUACCAUUACCAUUACCAUUUAUCCCUCGAGACCACCCUAACUUCACCUCUGCAAACCCAAAACCACGCAUCAAUCCCUCUCUCUCAAUGCAUUUUUAUUUUUUCUUUCUAAGCAAUGUGAAUGUGAAAACGGCACAUAUGCCACUAUAUUUGAGUUUUCUAGGAAUUAUGGUUUUUUAUAAUAUCGAAGCACCCUAUAAAUUUUUAAGUAUCAUAGCGGUCGAAUGUAUAGAACAUCGGGCCCAUACAUCGGACCGCCUCAUAAAAGAGAAUCGAUUGCAUCCUAGGAUGGUCCAGAGUUGCCAAUUGGACCACCCCAGAAAUGGGGCAAUCUGAUAGUUUAUCCUUCAUAUCACCUCACAAAUGCCAAAAACAAAAAAAAAAACAGUUCGAUGUUUGCAACAUAAAACUGAAGGAAAAUCAAGAAAAAUUAAAGGGCAAGCUUUCUAUACUUCCUCUAUUGUAUAAAACUUAUAUACUUCCUUCUAAUCGACCAUCCAUUCUUAAUGGACGAUUGAGAUGGCCCCACUCACAAUGUCACGCCUUUACACUAUUUUAUUUUUAAUUUUUUCAUAAAAUAUUUUAUUACCAAAUUUGGGAGUCAACUUCUUUUCACCUAUAAAAAAUAUGAAAACAAUAUUCCCAAUAAACUAAAUUGAUCAAAACGCCCCCUGAAUAUUUCAAGAGAAUUUUGGUUGCUUUAUUUUAUUUUAAAUAUGAGUAAUGAUACUAUGAGACCCUCCCGCACCUAUGUGAGUAGCACCCCAAAGGAUCACCACUAAAUUUCUACACAAAUCUUUAGAAAAGUUAUUAAUAAACCCAUUCACCCAAAUCCCACACCCAUGUGAUAACUUUUUUAGAUAUUUGUGUCAAAAUUUAAUGGUGAUCCUUUCGGGUUCUACUCACAUGGGUGUGGGAGGGUCUCAUAGUGUCAUUACUCUUUAAAUAUUAUUCAUAUAUUAUUUAGGUGCUCCCCAUUGUGAUGACAGCACGUACCAAAUUUCAUAUUCGUGUAUAUAUAUAUAUAUAUAUAUAUAUAUAUAUAUGUAUGCGUCAGAUCUAANNNNNNNNNNNNNNNNNNNNAUGUUGUAAAAUGCACUAUUUCUGAUAUUUAAAAUCUUUUUAUUUUUAAUGGUCAUACAUCUCGAUGUCGAGAUAAUCAAUCAAAGGGUUUUCAACAAUAAAUCUAUAUUUUUCGAUGGAUUUUUGAUGCGCAUCCAUAGCUCUACAUUAUAAGGUUGCAUCCUUAUAUAAACUUUUUCUUUCUCAAAAUUAAAACACAAAGAAAAAGACCUUUCCAUAAAAAUUUCUGAAAAUAUAGACCAAAUGGUAAUUUUAUAAAUCUAACCUGUUACAGUUGACCGCCAUUGGUGACCCUAUAGCGGCCAACCUAAACUAGAGAUCACAAAAUCCUUGCCCUAAGACGUUUAAGUUAGAUAACGUACCAGGGGAAAGAGCAGCAACCACAAUAAAAACAAUCAGCAAAAUAGACACAGGAGAGCGAAUGGCAGCCAUGGCUUAAGUUCCUUCAAGAAAGAGAGAAGGGAGAGAGAGCAAAAAACAGAGAGAGUGGUUGUAAACAAUGGUUCUUGAAG
rnacentral:lncRNA from 1 species